AAUUUAUAGGACGGCUCCCCCCGCGCCCCGGUCGGCCAAUGGCCGCCUCCUUUCCCCGGGCGUCAGUGACGUAAGGCCGUGGCGUGGGGUCGCGUGGCGCCUCCUCGUUUAGGCACGAGGGGAUUUAAACUACAAAAGAAAGAAGAAAGCCAAAAAUUAUGAGAAACCGGAUGUCCUUUUCCCAAGGUGGAAAAAGAGAAUAACUUGCGAAGGGACGGUGUCUUUUUGGAGAUCAGUCCAUAGCUUCACGCACAUCUCUCCCCGAACCUUUGCGGCCACGGCUAACAUGGCGGGGGAGCGGGAGAGUCUUUUUUUUUUUCCUCAGGACAUCAAGAGGGGAAGGGAAUGGAUGUGGCUGAGUUAUCCGGUCACGGGCAAGUAAUCCAUGUGGCACAAAUAGUGCACAGCUGAAAACCAUCUCUAGUUGAUGCAAACCUGGGAAUUAAACCCAGAUCCUCCCACAAGAUCAAACCACUGAGCGUGUACCCAGCCCUCCAACUAAUUGCUAAAGUUUGAAGUAAAAUUAGCAUAAACUGCAGGUAUCAAUAUUUAAUGUUAAUAGUUUUGUGUAUCGUUGAAGUCAUCCCCACGAUGAAACAUUUCCUUCAGCUUCGGAAGUUUCCUCAAGCCCAUUUACAGUAUCAUGGCUCUCCUUCCUGUGUCUGGAUACUGGUUUCAUUUUCUGAAAGUGUUGACUGGAUCAUAUAUAAUGAUCAUCUUAUCUGCCUUCUUCAAAUGGCAUGAGUAUUUUAAGCAAUAGGAACCCUAACUAAGACACUUCCUGUAAGGGAUCUGGAAUCUCCCUUCCUCCUAGAACCAAGACUGAACUGCCUUGAAACUGGUAAGUAGCCUUCUUCAGUCAUUGAUACCACUGCAAAAGAAGCUUCCUUGCCCAUAACAGCCAGCAGCAGCACAGAUCAUGGACUUCCACAUGGCUUCAGCGGCAGCAAGGACCAUGGAUAUCAGCAUGGCCUUGGGCAGCAGCCACAUGGACCACAGACAACUCAGCCUCCAGCAGCAGCACAAACCAUGGAGGUCUUUCGAGGAGACCCAAUCCAGAAAUGAACCAUUCUCCAUCUCAGACAUCCUGCCAUUCGUUGCUCGGAGCCAGGGAAAUGGUGUGACUGGGCAGCACUCGCCUGAGCUCCGGGCUGCUGCACACCACCCCGCCAGCUUAGCUCUACUCAGCACCAGCGUGCCAUGUUCCCACACCUGAGGCCACCACUGUGUCUGUAGUACUGCCUCUUCCCACCUGGCCUGCAACUCCAUUCUCUUAUCUUUUCCGCCUCCCCAUCCAUCAUUUAUUCACUGAAGUGGAACUGCAAAGUGCAGUGUGUCACACAGUAUAUAUAUAAUUUACCCAAACAACUGUACAUGCAAAUACUUACUGCAGUGAGUCAUUGGUCUGGCUCCAGGUUUCUGGUUUCUGAAGCACCAUGUAUACUGGACUAUCACUGAGACUCAUCUCAGAUAUCCUGUUCUUGCCCAGAAUCAGGGUGACCUUGCAGGGUCAGCACCUUGAGGUUGGUUGGUCCUUGCCUCCUGGCAGGCAGAGAACUGGCCUUACUCAGCAGUGACAAGUUCUUUGUCCACAACAGCCAUGCUGCUCCUCCUGUUUUUAACACUCUCCCACCCCUGAGUUUCUGACCCCUUUAUUCGGUAUUAUGCCAAAUAACUUCUGGAACUCCAUACAGAUAUUCUAUAUCCUCUGCACACCAUCCCUACAGUCUCUUAGGACCAGCUGCAGGCACCUUUGUCAGAGUUCAGAUGCCGUAUCGGUAUGAGGGCUUCCACCUCAUCCUUUCCUACCAAACUUCAUUUUCCUUUUUCCUCCUAGUCUUUGAUCCAGCAUAGUCUCAAGAUCUGCUCUCAGACAUGUUUCCUGGGUUCCAGCCAACACCCUUGGACCAGAAUCUGCAGUCCAUUCAGGCCGUAACUACUCUCCUGUGGAAAGACUAUUUCCUGGUGGGGUAUACUAAGACCUGAUCCUGAUUAUUAAUUUGGAGUCAGUGAAAGGUAGCAGGAGUGGAUUUUGAGAAUGACAAGUGUCACUUUGUCAUGCAACUGCCUUAGGUUAUUUUUUAAUUAAAUUUUUACUACAUUUAGGUGUAUGUAUGUAUGUAUGUGUAUAUAUGUGCUAUAACAGGAGGUGUCCAAUACAUUUAUACACAAUGGGCAACUUGGUAAGACAAUGUAAAAAAAUCAAGUGAUUUUAUUAGAAAGAGGCUUAUAAUUUUAAAAUAUAAUUUUUAGUUAAAAACAUAAGUUAACAUUCCAAAGCUUAAAAAGUAAAAACUAAUGGUUUUAACUUUCCAUUUUGAAUGAAAAUCUGGCCCAUAUGUAUUUGUUUAAA